ACACACUCGCCUGGCAGGCCCACACCUUGAGAAACGAUGCUUCGCCCGCACUUCGGAUGGAGGGGCGGACGGAGGGGGGAGCAUUGUGCAUUUUACCACCACUCUGCGAAUCAACACAUGUGCAUAAUUCUCUGGUGCUUCAUAUCCUUGAGACCCACCUUCCGGUUGCGGGAUUCAGCUGCAUCUGGUGAUGACUAGGGGUAGGGGGCAUCUUCACUCUAAGGCAGCUCUACGUUUGUGUGUGACGCGUAGGAAUUCAACGCAGAUUUUGAUAUGAGCAGUCCUCACACGCUUUCCCCUCAAAGGUUCUCGACUAUUCCUAGUCUGGGUAUCCAGGGUGGUUUCGCUUUCUGACCUUGACGUCGUGUGGGAGUGCGGUUAUUAUGUCCAACCCUUAAGAAGUGGAGUCCAAACCUUGGAACCGUUGUUUUGGGUUUUAGUCCAUCAUGAAGCUGCAGGGGAUUCUUGCAACUCUGUACUGGCGAUGUGGGUUUGAAUCUUGGAAACAGGGAAUUGUACUCAUUUGUUGAAGCCGGAGGGGGAGAUUGUUCCUGAAGAUGGAAUCGAUCCUGGAAUUUUAGGUGUGCGAGAUCUGCUUGUGGAAGCUGAUGUUUGCUUUGGGGACGUGAAACGGAUGUGUCGUAGCUAGAGCUUAGGGCAUGAUCAGGGGUGCUCGACAUUCUGUCUUUGCGUACUUAGAGAUAAGUAAAUUUUGGCCACCGGACGAUGGAUAUCAUACAGGCAGUCACCCAGUUUGUGGGAAUCUUUCAAGCAGGUUCUGAAAUCUUUGCGAUAGGCUCCUAGAUGUAGACUUCUCUGAAAACAUUCGUGCUUGUUUGGGCACGAGUGUGUUGGCUUGCGUCCUUUUCACUCCAGCUUGAAGUUUUUCACCACGGUCAUCGAUUUUUUUAGAUACAGAAAUAAGAAUAGGGCGGUUAUGCUCUGAGCUUUUUGCAGGGUUUCGUUCUCCUGGGCUACGGGCUGCGGUCUCCAGUAGCUCGAGAUUCCUGAGUGCUGUUGCUUGUUGAGUAGAGGUAAUCUUAAAUAUCGAUUUUCAAAUAUGAGUUUCUGGGUUCCUUGUGGCAAGCUUGAUGCUCUGCCUUUUAGUUUGUAGGGUGGAUUGCAGCGACGUGCAGGGCAGGCACCAUGCUUUCGGUGGUGUCCGGGGGGCAUAUGGGUUUCGCCUUCAUGGGGAACAUAUUGAAGGCUUUUCGUUUUAUAACAGAACUGAAGCCGAGCCUGACAUGGACGUCCGAAACUGACUGCCGAACACCACAGGAAUGCCUGAAGCGCAUCCUAUCAUGCAUUAUCAGCAUUGAGCGCUGCAAGGGCUCAUUGCACUUCAACCAUGUUCUCUGCGAGACUUUUAUGGGCAACUAUUUACUUCGUGCUAGGGAUUUGCUAGAGGGUCGAAAAGACGAAAUUGAAACCUACGGUGAGCAAUGUUUCAAUGAAUUAACAGCACUCCAUCACACGGUGAAGGAGGCUGAGUUUUUUAUUCACAAACAUUGCAUGGAUGCCAACUGGAUCAAGGCCGCUGUGGAGCUCGUGGAGAACACUUCCGCCUUUGCGGAGAUCAUCCUUGAUCUAAAUUGGUACAUGAAUGCACUGGGUAUUGCUAUUGAGGUUGCAACCGGCACAGCGUCAUGGGAGUCGACACGGCAUAAAGUAUGGGACCUUCAAAAUCGAGCCAUGACCGAGUAUGUCAAAUUACAUGACAGUUGGGAAGAGCAUUGCAAGGAGCUGAGUUUGCUCAAGGAUCGGAGGGUGCUGCUCACGAAACUAAAUUGUGAUCAUGCUAGAGACGUUCGAUGUCUGAGCACCUAUUUGGCUCGCAAACUAGCACAUCCAGAUCUGUCUGUUCACGCCAGGGCGCCCUUGCACGUAAACCUAAGGUCAUCGGAGUUGCUGCGGAACAGCGUUUUUCUGGGAGGCGGAGCUUACGGCACAGUGGAUAAGGUGCAGUGGCUUGGCAUGCUGUGUGCUGUGAAACAGAUCCCGAACAAAACCGAUGUAGACGAAGAGGUUAGGAUUUUAUCGAAGCUGCACCAUCCCAACAUUAUUCAGCUUUACGGGUACUUCAUAGAGGAACGCACUUUGUAUCUCAUCAUGGAACUAAUGGAAUCAAAUUUAUGUACGCAUGUAAUGGGAAAUCAAUGGAGAGAAGUUCGGAUGUCCCCCCAUUUUCUACAUGCAGCGUUUGAUUGCAUGCUUCAAAUAGCGAAGGGGAUGCGGUAUUUACACAGCAAGGGGAUGGCACAUCGGGAUUUGAAGGGUUUAAAUGUGCUCGUGAAGCCGAGCGAGAAUCGUGAGCUUCAGAGCAAAGGCUACUUGACUGUGAAGUUGACAGACUUCGGAAUGGCCAAGGCUAAUCUUCAACACUCGACGUACACAGCUCAGUCGAUGAAUGUGGGGACUCCUGCGUGGAAAGCUCCCGAGCUCUUCAAGUGGUACUCAUCCGAUUCCCCAAAGCACAAUCUUCCUAGGGAGCGCAAGUAUUACCCUUUCAAAGCUGACGUAUACAGCUUCGGUAUGGUCUGCUACGAAAUUUUGUGCGGGAGUAUACCGUUCUCGAAUGAGACGUUGACGCCGCGCAGUGUAUUCUACGCUAAGGUCAAGGGUGGGAUUAGACCGGAGCUGCCGGAAGAGUCUUUGAAGGUAGUUCCUGGACUCUCCGACUACAUUAAGCUUUGCUGGGAUACUGAUCCUUGCAGACGUCCGGACUUUGUCAACAUAUGCAAACGAAUUCGUCAUUUCCGAGAUUAUUUGUUGAAGGUUGAUGCGUACUCUGGUUGGGAGCGUAAAGCUCUCGGAAGCGAGAGGAUAGUCGAGGAGCUUAUAACCAUAGACGACGAUGAAUUAAUAGAUGCAGAUGAAUGGGACUGGGAAAUAGACUACAAGGACGUUGUUCGUGUUGGAGAAGCCCUACGUGCAAGCAGCGGAUUUUCGUCGGUAUGGAUAGCCCAGUGGAAAAAAACCUCUGAGAAAGUCCUGGUCAAGUUUAUUGAGCCUACUCUGAUUGACAACGAGGAGAGCAUUGCAAAUUUUAAGCGCGAGGUGGAGCUUCUCGUGAGGUUGCGGCACCCAAAUCUUGUACAUUAUCUUGGGGCAACUAAACAGGCGCAAUUUGUAGUACUCACUCAACUUGCUCCAGGAGUGAUGCUCCGUAAUUUCCUCAACAAGAAACCCACGGUGUCGCCUUCAGAUGCAGUGAGUAUUGCGCUCCAAGUUGCCCUUGGAAUAGCGUCCUUGCACGGAGAGCAGGUUUUGGUGGUGCAUGGUGAGCUCUCCCCUGAUUGCAUCGUAAUUGAUGAGCAGACCAUGACUGUAAGGGUUGCUGAUUUUGGCAUGCAACGCUUUAGGCUUCCUCCGCAGAAGCACUGUCAACCUCGCUGGUACCGAAGGGCUCCUGAGCAGCGCCAGGGCCUCUCCUUACACCCAAGCUGCGACGUCUUCUCCUUCGGAAUGAUUGUCUACGAGCUGCUGGAGCACGAGAAAGCCCAAGCCUUCUGGAAGCACAAAAAAGCCUCAAAAAUGGUUCUGAUGGGGCAUAGGCCUCCACUACAAUCUGCUUCACGUUAUCCGAGAGGUAUGAAGACAUUGAUUGAGAAGUGCUGGGCACAUAAGUGGGAAGAUCGGCCUAAUUUUGAAGCAAUCGUUUCAGCAUUGCAGAAAACGGUCACCCAUCAAAAUCGGCUCUCUUCAUCCAGCUGCAGCAGCAGUUCUAGAAGGGGAUAGAUCAGGAACAUAGAGCAUUCCCUCAUGAUGGGUUCACUGUUCGGUGCUUGCAGCUGGUAACAUCGAGAACCUCACAACCCAUGAACUGGAGAUUCCGACAUUCAUUGUUUUUGUGAUCUACAGUGCUUCGCAGCACAGAUACCUCUGGGUCACACAUAUUGGAACCUUCAAGGCGGUAGCGUCUUGUUGGAACUUCUCAAUCUCGCUGCUACCAAGGUCAGCAUUAGUUUCAGCAUGCGGAGGUAAUGUCGCCUGCACUUCACUCACCUCUCCAGCACUCAAGCGUCUGAAUACCUUCAAAGCUUACGUUUAUUAAUAAGAUGACCUUCAUUCUCAGAGUGUAGCUUUAUUCGGAGCCAGAUUGGUAGUUUUGAAUCACUUGCGUUUACCAUGCUGCAGUAUGCUUUCUAAAUAUUAAUGACAUUCAGAUCAGAGAUAAAUUGGUUUUUUUUUCUUAGCA